GACGAACGCUGGCGGCGUGCUUAACACAUGCAAGUCGAACGGAAAGGCCCUGCUUUUGUGGUGUGCUCGAGUGGCGAACGGGUGAGUAACACGUGAGUAACCUGCCCUUGACUUUGGGAUAACUUCAGGAAACUGGGGCUAAUACCGGAUAGGAGCUCCUGCUGCAUGGUGGGCGUUGGAAAGUUUCGGCGGUUGGGGUUGGACUCGCGGCUUAUCAGCUUGUUGGUGGGGUAGUGGAUGACCCAGGGUUUGACUGGUACGCGGCCUGAGAGGGUGACCGGCCUCAAGAGGACUGAGGGACGGCCCAGUCUGCAACGGUAGGCAGCAGUGGGGAAUAUGGCACAAUGGGAGGAAGCCUGAGGCAGCAACGCCGCGUUCGGGAUGACGGCCUUCGGGUUGUAAACCGCUGUCGCCUGUGACGAAGCGGUAGUGACGGUAAUGGGUAAAUAAGCACCGGCUAACUACGUG
rnacentral:rRNA from 1 species